UGAAAAUUGUGUCUCUGUUCUUUCCCUUCUCAAUUUAUAUAAUUCUCCAUUAUUCUUGAUGUGACAAUUAUCUCUUCUUCAUUACGAUGCCUUUUGGACUUUUAAAGGAAUAAAUCCGCAAUAAUGUUUGCUUUUGUCCCAUUAGAUGGAAGACUUACUGCUUCUUUGUAUAAGUCUUCGGCUUGGUGCGAGAUUUAUCAUGAACAGCAACAUUAAAGAAUCACAAAGAUUUGCUUUUGCUUUAUCACAUGAAAUCAAUCUCAACUGUUUCAGAUUCUGUGUCAUGUUUCUUUGAUUUCACUCGUUUCAAGUUUGGAGAGUUUUCCUGAUUCUGUCACUUUCCUAUCCAAGAGCAUCUUUGAAAAUUUCUUCAUUUUGUCCAGUUCAAAGACAAGUCAUCUUCAUUAACAGAACUUUUUGCCAACAGGACGACUAAAGCAAUGAUGGAAAUUCUGGAUUCAAAAAAAGACAUGGAGUUUUUAUCAGAAGGGCAGAAAGAGGGACCAUGUGCGAAUGAUAACAACACUUGGGCUUUACCAGGAAAAAUGUAUUAGUGAAAAUGACAAUUCUCGUUGCUUUAUUUGUUAAAAUUUAACUCUGAUGAAUCACGACAACACAUAACAUAUAGAGUACAAAAUUAUAGGUAUA